GUUAAGUUUGAAAAACAUUUUAUUCCAGAAUUUUGAAGAGUGUUUAUUCAAAGACUCAAUAGGGGGCUGUAACCUGAUAAUUCCUCCUUCGCUCCGAUACAAAUGGAAGCCAAGUUAGAGUCAAGGACGAAGUGGAGGGCAGUAAAUCGGUCCGUGAAUGUGCUGCCAAGUCAGAAGAAAGAUUUUGAGAGACGACUAGUUUAACCUAGUUAAAUACUAUUUAUUAUAGCUGAUGGAACCCGUAGGGGAAUAACCUCUACUCUCUGUAUUACCUAUACUUUUGUCUUUAAUUUAUUGAUUUGAUGUCUAUUAAAUGAUAGCUAGUUAAGGUAAGGAAUGUAAAGCACUAGAUGCAAACAGUAAAAUCUAACAAGUCGGGAGGAAGAAAAAUAAAAAUACAACUAUUGUUUCGCCACGGAAACAUAUAUACGGUUAUCUAGUCGCCAAUACACGUUUCUAUAAUCGAAUGAAAAUGUAAUCUUAAAAUUGCAGUUUUUCUUUUUUUCUUUCUUUUUAGUAUCUACGACAAUCAACUUUUAAAC